AACACCGGCGGCCCGAGUGGUGAUCGUGAUUAUUGGGUCUAAAGGGUCCGUAGCCGGUUUGGUCAGUCCUCCGGGAAAUCUGACAGCUUAACUGUUAGGCUUUCGGAGGAUACUGCCAGACUUGGAACCGGGAGAGGUAAGAGGUACUACAGGGGUAGGAGUGAAAUCUUGUAAUCCCUGUGGGACCACCUGUGGCGAAGGCGUCUUACCAGAACGGGUUCGACGGUGAGGGACGAAAGCUGGGGGCACGAACCGGAUUAGAUACCCGGGUAGUCCCAGCCGUAAACGAUGCUCGCUAGGUGUCAGGCAUGGUGAGACCGUGUCUGGUGCCGCAGGGAAGCCGAGAAGCGAGCCACCUGGGAAGUACGGCCGCAAGGCUGAAACUUAA
rnacentral:rRNA from 1 species